CAGCAGCCGCGGGAAUACGGAGGGGGCUAGCGUUGUUCGGAAUUACUGGGCGUAAAGCGCACGUAGGCGGACUGGAAAGUCAGAGGUGAAAUCCCAGGGCUCAACCUUGGAACUGCCUUUGAAACUAUCAGUCUGGAGUUCGAGAGAGGUGAGUGGAAUUCCGAGUGUAGAGGUGAAAUUCGUAGAUAUUCGGAGGAACACCAGUGGCGAAGGCGGCUCACUGGCUCGAUACUGACGCUGAGGUGCGAAAGCGUGGGGAGCAAACAGGAUUAGAUACCCCGGUAGUCCCUGUCUCUUAUAC
rnacentral:rRNA from 1 species